GCAAAGCAAAGCAAAAGCAACAGAGGAGGAGGAGAAGAAGAGAAAGAGAAAGAAGAAGCAUGUGAGUGUGAGUGCAACUGCUAGUAGGUAGUCUGCUGGUUGGUUGGGCAGUUGGUGUCAUGGCUGUUAGGGCAAAGCUAAAUCAGAGCUAAUCAAAGCACAGAAGCAAGGAGAAGAUGUAGCACUCCCCCGGUAAACAAAUAUAAGAGCGUUUAGAUCGCUAUAAAAUGCUCUUAUAUUUCUUUACGAAGGGAGUAGCUGCUGGCACCUCUAUGGGUGUGUUUGGAGCAUUCUCAACCUGCACCUCUAUGGGUGUGUUUGGAGCAUUCUCAACCUGCACCUCUAUGGGUGUGUUUGGAGCAUUCUCAGCAUGGUUGUUCUUCUCUGAUACAUGUAGACACGUUGAGUACAUGUAUUUGAUGUUGUUUGGUAGUGAUAUAUAUGCUGAGACAUGUUAAAGUUAA